AUGGCUGAGAUGGUCGGAUCUCUGGUCGUCGGCGAGGUGGUCAGCAGGACCUCCUCGUUCCUCGUCAGCAAGCACAAGGAGAGGUCGGCGUCGGCCUGCACAAGCGAGAGCCUGGAGAGGCUGGAGAUGGCGCGCAUCAAGAUGGAGGCGGCGCUGGAGGUGUCCGCCCGGUGGCAGGUCACGGACGUGGCGAUGCUCCGGUGGCGGCGGAGGCUGCGGCGCGCCGCCGACGAGUGCGAUGCCGCGGUGCACCGCUGGAAGCUGCGGGCCCUGGAGGAGGAGGAGGCCAGGGAGGCGCUCGCGCGCGCGUGGCUCCCGAGCCGGGUCGCGCGCAUCGUGGCUUCCUUCGUGUCGUCGCUCCUCAGCCGCCGCAGCGAGGAGCCCCACGCGAAGGCCGUCCAGAGGUUCGAGAAGCUGGCUGACGGCGCCGGGGAUUUCCUGAGGUACCUGCAGUCCGGCGGCGCGCCUCGGAGGUGCUCGCUGCUCGACGACGCCAUUGUCGGGAAGCCUGCUGUGAGUACGAGUACGAGGCAUGGUCUGGUUCAGGGAGGUCGGCAGCGCUGCCUGCGCUCAGGAUCCAGGAAGAGCGGGGUGGAGAUUAGACAGCUUGUGCAGUGA
rnacentral:rRNA from 1 species